AAAUGAGGUGGAAGGGAGAGAGAAAGUGGUGCAUUUAAUCCUUUACCCGAUUUGGACAAACAAAUGUUGAGACACAUUUACCAUAGAAGGAAUAUUGCCAUUUUGAUGUUCACUUUUGGUUGCAAUUGCCGAGAAUCACCAUGAGGAAUGGGGAUGUCUUGUGCUUGUUGUUAAUUUCAUUUGACCUUGCUUAUGUGGCACAAUGGUAGAAAAAGUUGAGCACCUUUGUGACUUGUGGACUUUUUAGAAGCAUUCUUUGCACCCAACAAUUGUGUGGCUCGGCAAUUUGGAGUCUUGGAGUGUGUGAGUUACGUUUUUGCUACAUGGAAAGGGAGGAGGCAUAGUUUCAUAUGAUUUGGAAGGCACAUGCUUAUUUCCUUGGAGAAUGAAGCACAUGGGACAAGAAGACUAUGCAUUGAAUUGUUUAUUGAAGGAAGAAAGUCAAAUAAGAAGUUGGUGUGCAUGAGGUCACGACCUUGAAGGUUUUCUAGGCCAUUUUCAAUUGCAAAUUUAUUUGGUUGAUGGAAUAGGUCACGUGAAUAGUAGAGUAAAAAGCAUGGUUGAUUAUUUCUUUGUUUUGAAUUAGUUUGCAUUAUAGGAUUAGUUGCUUUUGAUUUCU
rnacentral:lncRNA from 1 species